rnacentral:rRNA from 1 species
GACAGAGGUGCCGAGCGUUAGGCGGAAUCACUGGGCUUAAAGCGUGUGUAGGCGGACUUGUAAGUACCUUGUGAAAUCCCACAGCUCAACUGUGGAACUGCUUGGUAUACUGCUUGUCUUGAGCCACUUAGGGGCAGUCGGAACAGACGGUGGAGCGGUGAAAUGCGUAGAUAUCGUCUGGAACGCCAAAGGUGAAAACAGAACUGCUGGGAGUGUGCUGACGCUGAGACACGAAAGCCAGGGGAGCAAACGGG